AGGGUUGUGGCUCAGUGGUAGAGCACUUGCCUAGCAAGUGUGAGGCACUGGGUUCAAUUCUCUGCACCACAU
rfam:Ictidomys tridecemlineatus contig064924, whole genome shotgun sequence.